GGUUGACAUGAAUUAAAAGUUAAUUACGCUUGCACGAAUUAUUAUCUGCAUAUGCACAGUUUCAACUGCACUAUUUUUCGCUCCGGCUUUGCAAUCAUAUAGAACACAUUGCUUAAAAAGUUUACAGAGGGAAAGUUUAGACUGAACAACAUAUUUUUAUAAAGUUACACCAAUUUUGUCGAAAUACGUUUUUGUAUGUUAUUUUUAACACUUUAACUGAAAACAUUAAUAGACUAAUAUUUACAAGAGUAAAAUUAUUAAAACAAAAUACAUUUUGACUUCGCUAUUAACUAAACUGUAAUAUAAGCGGACACGACAUGUUGAAAUCGCGUGCAGAAAUGCCCUACCUUACACCUAAUCCACUUCGCGAGCGGUUGCGGGUUCAUAUAAGACACGAUCCGUAACCUUCAACACAAACUUUCUUUUCAUGCCAUGCCAAACCAAGCAUUUUGUUCAAGUUCUAAAAGUUGCCUACGUUGGCUGUACUAAGCUUCCUGAUAGCACCGCCGGAUACAAUGCGACCAGUCAACUGAUGGGGGUCGAACAGUGAUCGCACCCUGACGGCUCUCGCGUAAAAAGGGAGCACGCAGAAUCGAUGCAAGCGACGUCCGGCGUCACAGUAAGAUUUUAUUCACGAUAGGUUGCCCGCGUUCGCAUUAGUCAUUGCAAUAAGUGGAUGACGAAAACACAUCCGACAUUGCAUGUUCGCUGUAGAAAUGUUAAUUUCUUCUUUAAUGAACUUUCUAAAUGCCACCUACAGCGUCAUAAAACUUCCAUAAUUCAACGAAAAGAUUGCGUCAUCAGAUAAGUUUCCAGUUUAUUUAAGAUGACAUCGGUACGCAUGACUUUUAUUCUGUAAAAAAUUCCAAGUCAAUCGCUUUAUCUCAAAUCGACUGAUUUAUAAAAAUUUAAACGACAGAAAGGCCCGUAUGCGUCACCAGUUUAUUUUAAUAAACUCAAAAACUUGUAUAAUGUGUUUAAAUACGACGUUUCUUGCCUAUAUAGUGCUUUUAAAUCAGUCUGUUUUUUUAUUAAACCGGUGACGGUUUAAAAUAUUUUUUCAAAGUUUAGCCCGAUGCUAAAAAAUAACUACUGCACCUUAAAAUCUAAAAUUUAUUUCAAUAAACGGAAUAUGUUUCAAAACCUUUGCGCAAAACUGACCACAAACGCGAACAUGUCAAGUGAAUCAGUUAGAAAAGUAACAGCAGGGAGGAGAAUUUGGCCACAAAACUAUCUCCCACCUCAAUCAAGGGACUUUAUGAAAAUGAACAAUGUUUGACAAGGCGUCCCACAUGGCUCAUUCAUACACAAAGGUGGACGACCUAAUUAACAGACGUUGCGGACUUCAGCAGGACGUCCCGUUAAAUUUUAAUUUAGUGAAAUUGAGUUAUUGAUGGCAUGGACUCGAAAGGGGGGUCUGUUGCGUAUAUCGCCUUGAUAACUUUGUAUCACAAGACAAAAGACACCGUAACAGUUUUUUAAUGGGUUCAAUGAUAAAUGGUAUAGGUGUUUUUUGGACAUAAUAUCAUUUUAUGUAAAAUUGUGUUAUGGAAAACGACAUCGUGGUUGUUUUAAAUGCGCUGUAAAAAAAUUCUGUUUUAGCCGUUAUUGCAUAAUGGAUUUUUUCCGACGGAGCACUUCUAGUUAAAUUAUUGCAUAAUCAUAAUAUGCACAGAAGUUUAUUUAAAUUUCCCUUCAUAUAUGUGGCACACGGUGCACAUAAACCAGGAAGGGAUUAAUUUUUAAUUCAGUCAGAGGUGCCACAUUUCCUAAGUAGAAAACAAUUAUUCUUUAAAUCAAUACUGCUGUAUUGUAUUCGAAACCUGCAGUUACUUUACUUACAGUGUCAACCAGAAGAAAACACUUAAUAGCCCCGCACAAAGCGAUGUAGAAAGUUAAAACAUUUUUUCUGCAAUCUAGUGAACGGUAAGUGUAAGUACAAGACGUACAGAUAACGCUGUGGGGAAACUAACUACCAUAUCUGUACCAUAUGCCGUUUAUUUUUUUGUUACAAGAAACAUUAGUCGUUGGUGAACGUAAUUUAGAAUCCUUCGAAAACACUGUGCCAAGUUUAAAUACAUUUCUUUACUACAAUUGAUCAAAAUGUUUAUGUAAACAGUAAAGUGUGCAAACAAAUAAAUUUUUUUAGUUAAGAUGAAGACAUAAAAAUGUUGAAUCUCAUUAGAAAUUUCUCUUUAGUGCCGCUGUGCGGGGACUUUUUAUGACAAAGUUUUAUUCAUGACAGUUCUUUCAUCAAAUACGGACAGCGACAUAUGCGUUCACUAAUUUGUCAAAUAGUGAAGUUAUGAAAUGUAUUGUCAACGACGCAAUGAGAAAUGUUUUGUUUGUACCUACAAGUUAUGCCACAUGGUAGGAAUGGGCGCUAACCACGUUACUUCGUGCUUUGGAGUAAACCUUAUUUUCUCAUCGAGGAGAAAAUAAUGAAAAACAAAAAAAAAUACCAACUGUGCUAGGAAUGUUAAAUAUGGGCUAAGAAAAUUUUCUUUUUUUUCCGAUCUGUGACCGUUGUCUCAUGAAUAUGCCGUAACGGCGCUUCGCCCAUAAAUUCCAAUCAAGUCAAGCAUAAUGGAUUGUGCAUGGCGCAUCACGUAGCACGUGGCCAAAAAUCGAUCCCCACGCGAGCAGUGUCACAAGCUUAGUAUAUCGCUCAGUAGAAAGCUUAAAGGCAGGGACGAAAAAGCGACAUAAGUUGCAAACAAAAGAGCCCUGUGGGCCGAUUUCGUGUUUCCUUGGCACCCAUUCAAACGUUCGAUAUAUCGACCAUACCUGCCUCCAAUUCGUUAAUUAAUUGUGAACAUAAACAAAGAUGCCGCAGUUAAAAAGUAGGACACUGCAAACAUGCGCGUUCUGUGCACGCUCGAGUAGAUUUGACAACUGGCGAUGUACCUGCUUUUACAAAGGGAAUUUCACACACGUAAGGUGCAGUAGUUGUUGCUAAAGAGAAAUCGUUACGUCUCAGUUGGCCCAGUUCUGCUAGUACAGCAUUAAACAGAUAUUUGAGUAUAAACCAGUAGUAUCGCGCCGCAGUACCAAAAUCGCAUUCAGUUCCUCCAUUCAUUUAGUAUUGACCUUGAUGUUAUUUUAGAUGGCAGUUUUCAGUCAACGGGGUUUACGUGCCGAAAUUAACAGAAGCCCUUUUCAUUCGCCUGUUUUUUAUCGGCUGAUUUUUUUUCUUUUACAGCAUUGAUUAAAUUCGUGAAACAGCGAUUGAUUUUAAGCAGGUUUAUGCCUUGAGGUUUAACAGGGAGACGAGCUCUUUCCAUAAAGUAACUGCGCAAAGCUCGCAGAAGGCAUUAUUGGAUUAAAAGCUUAUGUUAAUAUUUUACUUAACUUAGUUAGCAUGGAAUUACUGCUGACGAUCGUUCUUCUUACGUCCGGACUUGAAUUUUCUUCAGCUGAAGAUUCCGUUUUCAUUAGCGAAGAUGAGGCAAACAUUUUCUUUCACCAUCGAGUACAACGGAGUAACCGUGGGUUUGUCUUGGAAGAAUUCAGUCCAGGGAACCAGGAACGGGAAUGUGUCGAAGAGAUUUGCAAUUACGAAGAAGCGUUUGAAAUUUCAGACAACCGGCCGAUUGCUAACAAAUUUUGGAAGAAAUACACGGGUUGUAAGCAAGGUCAGAUGAUGAAAAACCGAAAACGUAAACGACAUUCUCAAACAAGCGACAAAGUUUACUUGAGAUCGUGCUUAGCAGAUAUUGAUCAAUGUGCAAGGCGGCCUUGCAGUGCGCUGUACACGAUAAAGUGCGUGGACCUGAUAAACGAUUACAAUUGCAUCUGCAAGAAGGGAUACGGUGGGAAAAAUUGCGGAAAGGAUAUCGACUUAUGCGAUCCGAAUCCAUGUAGCCUCGAGGGAACAAACAAAUGUAUCAACUCACUUGAAUCCUAUAAUUGCGAUUGUAAGGACAACUUCGUUGGUUUGCACUGUGAAACUGCGACAAACCAUUGCACACCCGAGCCUUGCUCCCCCACUGGUACCAGCCGUUGCGUGGAUUUGCCAGAUGGUUUUCGUUGCGACUGCUUGCCCGGAUACAGCGGAUCAAUAUGUGAAGAUGAUUUAAACGAGUGUUUGAGCAAUCCGUGUGGUGACCAUGGAAGUUGUAGAGACAACUUGAACAAUUUUACUUGUCUUUGCGAUGAACAUUACUUCGGCGUUGUCUGUGACCAAGUGAUAUCGGACUGUCGUCGGUUUGGUUGUUCAGGACACGGACGUUGCCUUGCAGCAGAAGUUGAUAAUGUCCAUUACUGUGAUUGUUACAUUGGCUACGAAGGAGCCUCUUGCGAAAUGGAUACAGACGAAUGUGCGUCGUCGCCUUGCCACCAUAACUGCACAAACACAGUAGGAAGUUUUCGCUGUGGUUGCCUACCCGGUUAUUUACUCGACUUAGAAAGUCAAAUCAUAUGCGAAGAUAUUAAUGAGUGCACGAAUACGGCACAUGGGUGUGAUUAUCAAUGCGUCAACACCGCUGGGAGUUCUUACUGUUUGUGCCAGCCCGGUUACAAAGUUGACAGGCUAUUCGGGAAAUAUUGUGAAGAUAUAAACGAAUGCAAGCAAGAUAACGGAGGUUGUAGCGGUAAAUGCCUCAACGACGAUGGCUCGUUUUCGUGCGUUUGCCACAAAGGAUAUGAGACAGAUGAUGGUGGUAGAACAUGCACGGAUAUAGACGAAUGUGCAGGACCGCACAGAUGUCAACAUAUAUGCAAAAAUACACCUGGUUCAUACGUGUGCACGUGUCCGGAAGGUUUUGUAGCAAACUACGACAAAGUAUCGUGCAGAGAUAUCAACGAAUGCAUUCUCCCGGAUCCUCCGUGUGGACAGACAUGCCAGAAUACUGACGGAAGCUUCACUUGCUCUUGUCGUCGCGGAUUCCUUCUGCAAUCGGAGACGAACGCUUGCGAUGAUAUUGAUGAAUGUGCUUCGAACAACGGGGGGUGUCGGCAACUGUGUGUGAAUACGGCAGGUUCUUUUUCAUGCGCUUGUAAUAGGGGUUACGAACUAGUAGGAAGACGUUGCUUCGACAUACGGGAAUGCAGCAGUAACCCAUGUGUCCACGGUAGGUGCAACGAGGGUUUAAACAAUUUCACAUGCUCUUGUUACUAUGGUUACAGUGGUCAGUUUUGCGAACUAGAGAAUAACCCGUGCUCGGAAGAUCCGUGUGCGAAUGGUGUCUGUACUACAACUGCCGACAGUUUUACAUGCGAAUGCAAUUUGGGAUUUACGGGGGAAAUUUGCAACGAAGACGUCGACGAGUGUUUGGCCGAAAAUGGAAACUGUCCACACCUUUGCGUGAAUAAUCAAGGUUCUUACACAUGCCAGUGUCGCAUGGGAUAUAUUCUAAAUGACAACGAGUGUGAAGACGUGAACGAAUGUGAAGAUACUAAUAUAUGUGAACAAGAAUGUCAAAACACUCUUGGUUCUUAUACUUGUGGAUGCAGUACUGGCUACCAAAUUCGAAACAAUGGUUCGUGUAUGGAUAUUGAUGAGUGCGCUGACGAAGAAUGCGAGCAAACGUGUCAAAACUCACAGGGCAGCUUCCGAUGUUUAUGUCUGGAUGGCUUUGUCUUAAACAGCAACGGAAGGACCUGCGCUGAUAUUGACGAAUGUUUAUCGCAAGGCACCUGUGAAGAUAAAUGCUUUAACACUGAGGGCUCGUACACCUGCGGUUGCUCGAGGGGGUACAGCCUUGCAGAAGAUGGUCGAACAUGUCAGGCCGACUCAGGAUGCCUUGGCAGUCGACCAGACCCCGCUAUAUUGCGUUGGCAUCUGUUACUUGGAGGAAAAAGCAACGAUUUUGCAAAUCAACAAAUUGUAAAACAGUCACGUAAAAAAAUAAAUCUUUACAUGCUUUUUCGAACAUUUGACACCGAGGGCCUAUUGCUCGGUAUCAGUAAUGAAGAUGGAGACAAAUACAUUUAUAUCAUGAUACAAGACGGGCAACUUACUGCAGGUUACAAUACAGGUUCAAGGCAUGUCAGCAUGGCUUCAAACACUACAGUUUCCAACGGAGCUUGGCACUCGGUCCGACUUUUAAAAACAGGCAAAAAACUUAAAUUUUUCGUGAACAACACAACAGUUGCCAGGGUAACAAGUAGCUCACCCUCGGCGCCAAAAUUUCAACCUGAGACUUUGAUUUACAUUGGGGGCUUGCCAGGAAAUCAUUCACUUCUUCGUACGAUUGGGAUAUACCCGCAGUAUAUUGGCUGCGUAAGAAAAAUACGAACAAAGAUGGGAAAAGUUUCGUGGAUUCCUUCAAAGAAUGGAUUUUUUAACAGCCACAAAGGCUGUACAGAAACUGUACAACCAGGAACUUUAUUUUAUGGGACUGGAUUCUUACAGUUAGAUCCGUCUCAAAUGCGGCGCGUGCCAGAUUUUAAAUUUCGAGCGGUGGUCAGGACAAGUUAUCCCGAUGGUGUUUUGGUUUCGGCAAGAACGAACGGCGGGGGGAAGUUAGUUUUAUCUCUUAGUGACGGAACUAUUCGGGCAGAGGUUACGGACAUCUCCGGCAUCCGCACACAUUCAUCUAUAUAUAGAAAGGAGGGGCAAUUGAUGUGCACCGGUUUGUGGAUGAGCAUUUACUGUAAAAUUUCCACCCGCGGAAAGAUUUCACUGUAUGUUGAUGGAAGGCCGGGAAGUGAAGAAAUGAGAGGCGGAAGGUUUCGUUUCGAUUCAGCAGCACCGCUGUAUAUUGGUGGCGAGCCAGGGGGGACGUUAGCCCCGUUCAACGGAAACAUGCGCAAGGUGUACAUCAACGAUAGGGUAGUCGACUUGGCCACCUCAACCAACUAUUUCGGUGUGAAUGCUCGUUCUAUGCCCGCUGUGCUGCCCUAACCUUCAACGACAAAAUGUAUUCAGUACUUGGAAGAGGCGAAUGAAGAGUCCCGCAGAUCAUGCUGUACGUUUUAUUAUCGCAAAUCUGACGGAUUUUGAACGCGUUUCUUUGGCGGUAAACUAUUCAAGUGUCAUGUGAAAUAAAAGAAAAUCACACAACCCUCA